GUGUUCGGGCCCAUAUUUUUCUUUAUUUGCACCGUGACAAUUAAUAUACAUAUAAAAGGAAACAAAUAAAAGGACUGAAUUUAUGUUGUGUUGGGUGUAUCCGUGAAGUUUAAUUAUAAUAUAGCCAAAGUAUUGAAAGAUUCAACCUCUACAAUCAUAGUAGGCACAUAUGGUUACUUAGCCCCUGAAUAUGCAUAUUCGAAUAAAGCGACAACGAAGUGCGAUGUUUAUAGUUUUGGGGUGGUGUUGAUGGAACUAAUAACAGGGAAGAAACCAGUGGAUGCCGAUUUCGGAGAGUAUAAGAACAUUGUAUAUUGGGUUACAACAAAGCUGGAUACAAAGGAAGGGGUAAUGGAGGUCAUAGACAAGAACUUGUUGGGGUCAUUUAAGGAUGAGAUGAUUCAAGUUCUUAGAAUUUCAAUGUGUUGUACAUGUAAGAAUCCAUCUCAACGUCCAACAAUGAAUGAGGUUGUUCAAUUGUUGAUUCAGACAGACCCUUGCUUAACAGAUCCUUACAAGUUUUCAACAAAGACCAGAGAAGCAUCAAAUGUCACAGAGAACAAAUCAGAAGAGGUACAUGCUAGUCUGUUGUCAUUCAGGUACAGAUGAUUCAUUAUACAAGCCAAGGCAGGGACAAAAGGCAAAGGCAAUGAGACACAAUGGGCUUAACCAAAAAAGAAAUGUUAAGGUUUGGUAUCAAUUUCUUCAAUGACUUCAGCGUUGGCGUGAGCAAUAGGUUGAACUAGACACCGUUGCAUUCAAGGAUUCUUUAAUCUAUUGCAUCCAAACUUGAAUUAUUAUUAUCUGUUUUAAACCUAGUUUGACCAAUUGAAGUCUGUUUCUAUUGUAAAACAAAUGGUAGACAACCAUCCU